rnacentral:lncRNA from 1 species
CAAUACCUCAACAGAAGGAUGUCCUAAUCUGUAGUGCCACAAAUCAAAGGCAGAAAUUCUACAAACCGAAUUAAUCAAACAGAUCUUCUCCAUACAUGGUUUUGAAGGUGUGUUAAGGAUGUACAAAUUCUUCACCACUUUAGCAUGUCCAAUCAUCUUCAAGGUAUUGAUAUCCUGAAUCACACAUUGAGAAUCAUCAAAAAUCACUCUGCAAUUAAAUCACUCUGCAAGUUUAUAUUUUCUGCUGAAUCCACAACACUCAUUCAAAUUAAACAGAAUUUUCAUGUUUGCACUAGUUGCUUGGAUUUAUGGCUGUUGCAACAGGGAGAAUGCCUUGUUGAUGCUAGGUAAAGGUUCAAGCAAAAGAAUUUGUGACCUAGUUAUACUAAAUUCUUCAUUUAGUCCUUUUAGGAAACAAAUCACAUAUUCAGAUUUUCUUUGUUUCUUAAUGAUUUUUAUCAUUUUGCAUUUGCACUUCACAACACAAGUACAUGAAUGUAUAGGUCUCAAUGCUUCUAAAUCUCCCAAAACAGUUUUCAAAUCAAUAAAAUAGUUUGAUAUGUUCCUAUCACCUUGCUUAAUGGAAUGUAAUUCUUGCAAUAAAUCUGAAAUACGGAAAUGAUCACCUUUCGAGAAUCUGUCUUUCAAAUCUUUCCACAGCUCAUAAGCAUCUUCAAUGUAAACUGUGCUUUGAGCUAUUUGCAUGGCUAAGCACCUUGUAAUCCAUGAAAUC